GGGAUUCUGGGAUAGUGCCGGGCACAGGAAAACAGGCAUAGGAAGAUCAGCCCGGGGAGAUGUGAGGACACAGACGUGUGGUACGUGGGGAACCUGAGGCUGGGUAGAAGAACCAGACCUAACUUCAACAGAUGGGAAAAGAUCUACCUCAAGUUCGAGCAACUCUUGGGCACAUACCCAAGGGACACUUCAUUCUACCACAGACAAUUGCUCAACCAUGUCACCGCUGCCGUAGUCAUAGUAGCCAGAAUUUGGAAACAAUCCUGAUGUCCCUCAGCAGAUGAAUGGUGAAGAAAAAGUGUUACAUCUAUACAAUGAAGUAUUAAAAAAUCAUGAAAUUAGCAA